UGUUUUAUACAAUACACGCAUUUGUGAAAUUUAUAUUAUCAUACAAUACCGUGCAUUUGUGAAGAUAUUAAGAGCAUAUUGUCGAAAGACCGUUGAUUUAGGAAUUCUAUAGUGGCUAGUAUGUACAUAUUGAAGAUAUGCAGUGCUUCACGGAUCCUCAAACAUUUUAAAUGCUAUGUUCAGGUGUGAUACAUUAGCAAAUUCCAUAUUUUAUUCUAAGACGUCGAGUUAGAAAUCGCCACAACUUUACCAACUAUAAUUUUCAGGUCGAAGGUACAUUGCCGGACUGCAAUCACUUCAACCAGAAGCCGUGUCACCUUCCCAUCAAAGAUGCGAUAUGCACUUAUGCUUACGAGAAACGUUUGCCGUGUGGUCAUGUGUGCCAGCUUAAGUGUCAUGUUAACAAAGACCCGGAACAUAUCGAGUACAAGUUCUACAGAGAUUGCGAUCGGAUUUAUGACAAUUGUGUGGAAAUCACACGUGUAAGAAACAAUGCUUCGAAGAAUGCGGACUGUGUCCAAAAAUUGUCGCUCUUGCGGACAUAAUUUCAAGCCAUUUGUGUGCUCGAAGAAUGUAGAGGAAAUUGAGUGCGACAGACCUUGCAAGCGCAAGUUAAGCUGUGGUCACAAGUGCCCGUCGAAAUGGUGCGAACCAUGCGGAAGCUGUUCAU